CUCGGCAAGGUGUAAAUGGGGAUCGCAAGCUCAUGCUCUGAGCGGCGAUCCGAUAGCUAGUGGUAGGUAAGCACCAGCAUCGAUCAGUAGCUGGUUGAGAGGACGCAGCACACUGACUGAGACCGGUCAGACUCUACGGAGCAGCAGUGGGGAAUUUGACAUGGCGCAAGCCUGAUCCAGCAAUGCGCGUGAGUGAGAGGCCUUCGGGUGUAAAGCUCUUUGUCAGGGAGAAACGGUGGAGGCUAUAUCCUUUGCUAAUGACGGUACCUGAAGAAUAAGCACCGGCUAACUACGUGCCAGCAGCGCGGUAAUACGUAGGGUGCAAGCGUUAAUCGGAAUUACUGGGCGUAAAGCGUGCGCAGGCGGUUUUGUAAGUUUGUCGUGAAAUCCCCGGGCUCAACCUGGGAAUGGCGAUGAAGACUGCAAGGCUAGAAUCUGGCAGAGGGGGGUAGAAUUCCACGUGUAGCAGUGAAAUGCGUAGAGAUGUGGAGGAACACCGAUGGCGAAGGCAGCCCCCUGGGUCAAGAUUGACGCUCAUGCACGAAAGCGUGGGGAGCAAACAGGAUUAGAUACCCUGGUAGUCCACGCCCUAAACGAUGUCUACUAGUUGUCGGGUUUUAAUUAACUUGGUAACGCAGCUAACGCGUGAAGUAGACCGCCUGGGGAGUACGGUCGCAAGAUUAAAACUCAAAGGAAUUGACGGGGACCCGCACAAGCGGUGGAUGAUGUGGAUUAAUUCGAUGCAACGCGAAAAACCUUACCUACCCUUGACAUGUACGGAAGCCACGAGAGAUCGAGGCGUGCUCGAAAGAGAGCCGUAACACAGGUGCUGCAUGGCUGUCGUCAGCUCGUGUCGUGAGAUGUUGGGUUAAGUCCCGCAACGAGCGCAACCCUUGUCAUUAGUUGCUACGAAAGAGCACUCUAAUGAGACUGCCGGUGACAAACCGGAGGAAGGUGGGGAUGACGUCAAGUCCUCAUGGCCCUUAUGGGUAGGGCUUCACACGUCAUACAAUGGUACAUACAGAGGGCCGCCAACCCGCGAGGGGGAGCUAAUCCCAGAAAGUGCAUCGUAGUCCGGAUUGUAGUCUGCAACUCGACUACAUGAAGUUGGAAUCGCUAGUAAUCGCGGAUCAGCAUUCGCGGAAUGCUC
rnacentral:rRNA from 1 species